UGAGCAAUCUGCCCUUCUCUUCGGAAUAAGCGUUGGAAACGACGUCUAAUGCCGAAUACGACCUCCUUUCGCAUGAUCGGAGGUGGAAAGCUCCGGCGGAGAAGGAUGAGCUCGCGGCCUAUCAGCUAGUUGGUGUGGGUAAUGGCCCACCAAGGCGACGACGGGUAGCCGGCCUGAGAGGGUGACCGGCCACACUGGGACUGAGACACGGCCCAGACUCCGUACGGGAGGNGGC
rnacentral:rRNA from 1 species